GAUGAACGCUAGCGGCAGGCCUAAUACAUGCAAGUCGAGGGGCAGCGCGGUAGCAAUACUGGCGGCGACCGGCGCACGGGUGCGUAACACGUAUGCAACCUACCUUCAACUGGAGGAUAGCCCGGGGAAACUCGGAUUAAUACUCCAUAAUACAGGGAUCCCGCAUGGGAAUAUUGUUAAAAGCUACGGCGGUUGAAGAUGGGCAUGCGUUCGAUUAGCUAGUUGGUGUAGGUAACGGCUCACCAAGGCUACGAUCGAUAGGGGGUCUGAGAGGAUGAUCCCCCACACUGGUACUGAGAUACGGACCAGACUCCUACGGGAGGCAGCAGUAGGGAAUAUUGGUCAAUGGGCGCAAGCCUGAACCAGCCAUGCCGCGUG
rnacentral:rRNA from 1 species